rnacentral:rRNA from 1 species
ACGGGAGGCAGCAGUGGGGAAUAUUGCACAAUGGGGGAAACCCUGAUGCAGCCAUGCCGCGUGUGUGAAGAAGGCCUUCGGGUUGUAAAGCACUUUCAGCGAGGAGGAAAGGUUGGCGCCUAAUACGUGUCAACUGUGACGUUACUCGCAGAAGAAGCACCGGCUAACUCCGUGCCAGCAGCCGCGGUAAUACGGAGGGUGCAAGCGUUAAUCGGAAUUACUGGGCGUAAAGCGCACGCAGGCGGUUGGAUAAGUUAGAUGUGAAAGCCCCGGGCUCAACCUGGGAAUUGCAUUUAAAACUGUCCAGCUAGAGUCUUGUAGAGGGGGGUAGAAUUCCAGGUGUAGCGGUGAAAUGCGUAGAGAUCUGGAGGAAUACCGGUGGCGAAGGCGGCCCCCUGGACAAAGACUGACGCUCAGGUGCGAAAGCGUGGGGAGCAAACAGGAUUAGAUACCC